GUGGAGCCAACCUUGAAAUACCACCCUGGUUUGUUUGAGGUUCUAACCUUGGUCCGUUAUCCGGAUCGGGGACAGUGCAUGGUAGGCAGUUUGACUGGGGCGGUCUCCUCCUAAAGUGUAACGGAGGAGUUCGAAGGUACGCUAAUUACGGUCGGACAUCGUGAUGAUAGUGCAAUGGCAUAAGCGUGCUUAACUGCGAGACUGACAAGUCGAGCAGGUACGAAAGUAGGACAUAGUGAUCCGGUGGUUCUGUAUGGAAGGGCCAUCGCUCAACGGAUAAAAGGUACUCUGGGGAUAACAGGCUGAUUCCUCCCAAGAGUUCAUAUCGACGGGGGAGUUUGGCACCUCGAUGUCGGCUCAUCACAUCCUGGGGCUGUAGCCGGUCCCAAGGGUAUGGCUGUUCGCCAUUUAAAGUGGUACGUGAGCUGGGUUUAAAACGUCGUGAGACAGUUUGGUCCCUAUCUGCCGUGGGCGUUGGAAAUUUGAAGGGGGCUGCUCCUAGUACGAGAGGACCGGAGUGGACGAACCUCUGGUGUACCGGUUGUCACGCCAGUGGCAUUGCCGGGUAGCUAAGUUCGGAAGAGAUAACCGCUGAAAGCAUCUAAGCGGGAAACUUGCCUUAAGAUGAGAUUUCCCAGAGCCUUGAGCUCUUUGAAGGGUCGUUCGAGACCAGGACGUUGAUAGGUCAGGUGUGGAAGUGCAGUAAUGCAUUAAGCUAACUGAUACUAAUUGCCCGUACGGCUUGUCCCUAUAACCUU
rnacentral:rRNA from 1 species